rnacentral:rRNA from 1 species
UAGGGAAUCUUCCACAAUGGACGCAAGUCUGAUGGAGCAACGCCGCGUGAGUGAAGAAGGUCUUCGGAUCGUAAAACUCUGUUGUAAGAGAAGAACGUGUGUGAGAGUGGAAAGUUCACACAGUGACGGUAACUUACCAGAAAGGGACGGCUAACUACGNGCCAG